rnacentral:rRNA from 1 species
AUUGAACGCUGGCGGAAUGCUUUACACAUGCAAGUCGAGCGAGAUUUUGAGGAGUAGAGACUUCGGUCAAAGCGAGUCAAAUGAAAGCGGCGGACGGGUGAGUAACGCGUGAGCAAUCUGCCCCAUACAAAGGGAUACCCACUGGAAACGGUGAUUAAUACCUUAUAAGACCACAGAGUUGCAUGGCUCAGGGGUCAAAGAUUUAUCGGUAUGGGAUGAGCUCGCGUCUGAUUAGCUAGUUGGUAAGGUAAUGGCUUACCAAGGCGACGCUCAGUAGGCGACCUGAGAGGGUGAUCGGCCACACUGGAACGAAGACACGGUCCAGACUCCUACGGGAGGCAGCAGUGGGGAAUAUUGCACAAUGGGCGCAAGCCUGAUGCAGCAACGCCGCGUGAGUGAUGAAGGCCUUCGGGUUGUAAAACUCUGUACUAUGGGAAGAAACAAAUGACGGUACCAUGGGAGGAAGCCCCGGCUAACUACGUGCCAGCCGCCGCGGUAA